rnacentral:rRNA from 1 species
CAGCAGCCGCGGUAAUACAGAGGAUGCAAGCGUUAUCCGGAAUGAUUGGGCGUAAAGCGUCUGUAGGUGGCUUUUCAAGUCCGCCGUCAAAUCCCAGGGCUCAACUCUGGACAGGCGGUGGAAACUACCAAGCUGGAGUACGGUAGGGGCAGAGGGAAUUUCUGGUGGAGCGGUGAAAUGUGUUGAGAUCGGAAAGAACACCAACGGUGAAAGCACUCUGCUGGGCCGACACUGACACUGAGAGACGAAAGCUAGGGGAGCAAAUGGGAUUAGAUACCCGUGUAGUCCCUGUCUCUUAUAC